GAUGAACGCUGGCGGCGUGCCUAAUACAUGCAAGUAGAACGCUGAAGGAGGAGCUUGCUCUUUCCGGAUGAGUUGCGAACGGGUUAGUAACGCGUAGGUAACCUGCCUGGUAGCGGGGGAUAACUAUUGGAAACGAUAGCUAAUACCGCAUAACAGUAGAUAUUGCAUGAUAUUUGCUUGAAAGGGGCAAUUGCUCCACUACCAGAUGGACCUGCGUUGUAUUAGCUAGUUGGUGAGGUAACGGCUCACCAAGGCGACGAUACAUAGCCGACCUGAGAGGGUGAUCGGCCACACUGGGACUGAGACACGGCCCAGACUCCUACGGGAGGCAGCAGUAGGGAAUCUUCGGCAAUGGACGGAAGUCUGACCGAGCAACGCCGCGUGAGUGAAGAAGGGUUUCGGAUCGUAAAGCUCUGUUGUAAGAGAAGAACGAGUGUGAGAGUGGAAAGUUCACACUGUGACGGUAGCUAACCAGAAAGGGACGGCUAACUACGUG
rnacentral:rRNA from 1 species